rnacentral:tRNA from 1 species
AAACUUAGGCUAGUACAGACCAAAGGCCUUCAAAGCCUUAAGCGGAGGUUAAACUCCUUCAGUUCUGUAG